AUACCCAUGACCUGGUAGAAAGAGCCUGGAAGGACACCUGAGUUCCAUGACUAGCUGACUUUCUUAGCUUCCCCAGCUAGCAUUUCACCAGGUUUCUCUUCCCAUUCUGCAAAAGAGGAGGUGAAGCAGUUGAUCCUUAAGUUCCCUUAAAGCUCUAACUUCCCCAAAUCCUCUCCUUUGAUUCUCUCUCAGCCACUGGAGAGAUUACUUGCCACAGUAAAGGCUGGAAUUCAGUCAGAGGAAGGCAAAGAAACAUCUAGAUGACCGAAGCAGUUGUGACACAGAAGCCUCAAGAAUGAGACGAACGUGAUUUCAGUGACAUGCUAUGGCCACCUCCUCACUGUCAUGAGUCAACCGUGGCUCUGCAGUUAAUGAACAGCAAGCCGAGAAGUUUGGUAUGUGGGCUGGUGAGCAGCUAGCCAGCUCAUCUUUCAAACACACCCACUAAGAAAAGAAAGGACAUGAAAAUCCUAAGCCAAAUGGCAACAUGGUGGCUUUCUCUGGGAAUCCUCUUCCGGUCUGCAGUUCAAGUCUGGAAGGAAAGUCAAAGACUGGAGAAUGUUUAGAAAAAUUCUGCAAUAGUUUAAGGAUGAGUGGCACCAAAAAUUGUUCCUAAAUAUAGACUGGCCAACAUCUAGUGAUAUUCUCCAUUACACAAGCUUGCUGGAAGAGCUUCACAUAAAGUUUGAAUAAGAAAAGAAACUGCUGAAAUAAAAACCUAUACAAACAAGAGAAAAAAUAAUUAUAUAAGCAAAAGAGUGUGUUGCUAUACUCUGAUAUAUAUAAUAGUCAAUAAACCUAACUUCAAAUCCGAGCUCUGUCAUUUAUUAUGUCUAACCUCAGACUAGAUACUAGGCCUCUCUAAGUCUCAGAUCCUUAUCUGAAAAAUAGAAGUUUAACUGGUCAUUGAUACCAGGAACCUCUUUCAACAGCCAUACACCCAGGGAUA